rnacentral:tRNA from 1 species
GUUAUUUUGGCAGAUUAAGUGCAUUAAAUUUAGAAUUUAAUUAUAUGUAUAUUGAUAUAUAAGUAAUA